GACGAACGCUGGCGGCGUGCUUAACACAUGCAAGUCGAACGGUAAGGCCCUUCGGGAUACACGAGUGGCGAACGGGUGAGUAACACGUGGGUGAUCUGCCCUGCACUUCGGGACAAGCCUGGGAAACUGGGUCUAAUACCGGAUAGGACCACUGCCUGCAUGGGUGGUGGUGGAAAGCUUUUGCGGUGUGGGAUGGGCCCGCGGCCUAUCAGCGUGUUGGUGGGGUGAUGGCCUACCAAGGCGACGACGGGUAGCCGGCCUGAGAGGGUGACCGGCCACACUGGGACUGAGAUACGGCCCAGACUCCUACGGGAGGCAGCAGUGGGGAAUAUUGCACAAUGGGCGCAAGCCCGAUGCAGCAACGCCGCGUGAGGGAUGACGGCCUUCGGGUUGUAAACCUCUUUCAGCACCGACGAAGCGCAAGUGACGGUAGGUGCAGAAGAAGGACCGGCCAACUACGUGCCAGCCGCCGCAGUAA
rnacentral:rRNA from 1 species